rnacentral:tRNA from 1 species
GCGGGCGUGGCGGAAUGGCAGACGCGCCGGGUUUAGGUCCCGGUGAGGCAACUCGUGGAGGUUCAAAUCCUCUCGCCCGCACCA